rnacentral:lncRNA from 1 species
GUAUUUGGGCUAAGAAGGCAGCCAAUAUUUUGGCCCUGGCCCUCCAAGGUCAACAACAAUAACAAAAAGAUCCAGGACAUAAGGGAACUAUCUCUGAGAUCCUGUAUUUUUGGUGAGUCAUCCAACCUCCUGAGCAGGGAGGUUGCUGAACACCAAAACAGUAAAGAUCCAACAAAAAGUGUGCCAAAGGAAUGUCACCUGGAGGAAAAAAUCUCCCAUGCUUUCGCAGGAAGCAACAUGGUCAAGCAAGGCCGUGACAUAUCCUUAUGGCUGACACUGACAGAGGAGCUAAGAGGCUCUAUGCAUGGUUCCAAGACAGUGCCUGUGGAGACUUAAUUGACCUUGUUAGAUAACAAGAGAUUGAUUUUAUUUAAUAUAGGUCUCACCGUAACUUGGUCUCACCGUAACUUGGUCUUAAACACCCAGUAGAAAAGUAUAACUAAAGACAAUGGUUAUUUGAGUUCAACAAAAGUUUUAAGUUUUUAAACCCAAUGUUUAAAAACAAAUUGUUAGAUUUUUUAAUCCUUUUACAGCCCCAAUUAAGAAAAAUUAUGCUUAUUAUAGACAGCUAAGCCAGUCAAACUAUAGAUCCUCACACUACAUAGGGAC